ensembl:lncRNA
GUUUUUUUCCUGACACAAGGGAGACGCCAUGGUAACAAGAGCUGCAAAAGCAAGGCUGAAUGAAAGCUCCCACACUGGAGCCCCAGAUGUCUACCUACCGACAAUCUGAAGGUGGAGAUGGAUGCCCCUUCUAGGUGAAGUUCUCACCUCGUUUCCAAGCGAGGCCGAGAAGAGGAGAAUGGGUGCUUUAAUGCUUUUAUGUAUGGUGUUCAUGCCCCAUUCUUCUUCCGAAGAGAUCAGAGCAGCUCACAUAUGACUCCCAGAUGGUCUCGCAUCCAGGAAGCGUACAGGGCCAAGCCGGCUUAGGUUCAGCAACAGAACUGUGUGCCAAACAGCGCAUUACAUGCAAACGGCAUAAUGGGAACUCAACGACAGCCGAAGCCAGCUGCUCCUUCUUUGGCCCAGUAUACCUGAAGGAGCGUCUCCACCCCCAUCGUUCUGCCCGGAUGAUGAGGUCCAGCGCCAAGGGCCUUCUGGCAGUUCCCUCACUGCGAGGAGCAAAGCUACAGGGAACCAGGCAGAGGGCCUUCUCGGUAGUGGCGCCCACCCUGUGGAACGCCCUCCCAUCAGAUGUCAAAGAGAUAAACAACUACCUGACAUAUAAAGACAUGUUCAGGGAAGUUUGUAAUGUGUGACAUUUUAAUGUAUUUUUAAUCUUUGUUGGAAGCCACCCAGAGUGUCUGGGGAAACCCAGCCAGAUGGGCGGGGUACAAAUAAUAAAUUAUUAUUAUUAUUAUUAUUAUUAUUAUUAUUAUUAUUAUUCCUCCUUCCACCUCACUCUGCUUAAGUGUCCUUCAGAGCAAGGAAUUCUCUGCUAAGUGGCUUGCGCCAACACAUAUAGAAAUUCUUUUUAAAAGUUUAAAGUAAUUUACACUCUGAGCAGGGAAUACGAGCAACUGGGGACUAUGGUGGCAUCGGAGAGGAGGAAGAGGGAUGGUUCAGGAGACACAGAAAUAGAACCAUCAAACUGUAGAGUUUAAAGGGACCUUGAGGGUCAUCUAGUCUAACCCCCUUCAAUACAGGAAUCAAGUGAUCUGAGUGGCUGGGCGGUGGUGGCAGCAUGGGCUGGCAAGCAACAGAAUGUGGGGCCUGGAGAUCCAAAGCCCCACGACAUCCACCACGUUUUAUUUCAUGAUAGAACCAGCCCUGGUCAUGACUCCACAUGACUGUAUAUAGCCUGAGCUAUCUUAAAUAUCCACAGCAGUGGGAAGAGGAGGAAUGACCACUGGGAGGAGCCAAGAAAGAAGAAACGCCCUGGUGCACCUGCGCCAGCACAACUGGACACCACCCUCUGCCCCAGCUGCAACAAAACAUGUCUCCCCCUUAUUAGUCUCUACAGCCACAGCAGACGCUGCAACCUUCCAAUGGUUUGACUUCAUCCCCAAAGGUACGUUCCCUCAUGGUCUCCUGAGACAUACGGAUACCAGAAACAAUCUUAAACUAAGCUAGGAGCAACACAGGAAUGGGAAGCCCUUUGUUGCUUAGGGCCCUCAUAUUUAUGGGACCACCUCUCCUAGUAUGCCCCACAGAGGCCCUUAAGGUCCAUGAAUAAUCAUAGUUUAGAGGUCCCGGGCCCUAAGGAAGUCAGAUUAUCCUCCACCAGGGCCAGGGCCUUCUCAGUGAUGGCUCCGACCUGGUGCAAUGCUCUGUCCCAUGAGACCAGGGCCCUGCAGGAUUUAACUUCCUUCCGCAGGGCCUGUAAGACAGAGCUAUUCUGCCUGGCUUUCGAUUUGAACUUAGCCUGAUCUUUUAUUCCCCAUCCUUCCCUCCCCCUCCCCUAUUUUAUAAAGAUUACCCACUCUGGAACACAAAUCCAAAAAUCUGAGAUAGGAAAUGGAUGGCACAUCCAUCAGAAGCCCUGAGGUAGGUUUUGGGGCCCUUUGGGUAACUGGAGGAAGGAGAAGAGGUGGUGCCAGGACUUUCAUUUGUACCCCUGAAAAGCUCUUGACCUCUUUCUGAGUGAACAGGAGAGAAACUGCCUGUCUAUUGAUGGGACCAUCAGCAAACGGCUGGUUCCCUCUGACAUCUCAGGCUUCAUAGUUACCUCUUCGCCCCUCUGGCUGCCCAGGAACAAAGCUGCUCUGAGGCCGCUGAGGAGCAGGGCAGCCUAGGCAGAGGAGCGCUGAGAUGAUGCUGACUCCUUCAGAGCUUCACCUGUUGCCAAGGCAACGCACUUCAGAAGUGUGGGAGAGCACUGGGCCUGAGCAAAAACGUUAAAUUAAAAGCACAUUAUGGGCUGUUAAACUGAAGCAACUGCUCAUGUGGAGAGGACCCUAAAAUGCCUCCUUAGCUCCUUAGCAGGGCAGGAUACUAAUAAAGAAAUAAAUUGCCAGGAAAGGUGGAGGGCGAGAGUUGUGGGUGAUUUGGAGCAACAGGCCAGAGCAAAAGUAAAAUUCUACCGCAGUUCAGAAUCUGAAGAAUUCUUGAAAUUGAUGUAUUCUUUUUAGAAGAAGAAGAAGUUGUUGAAGUUUUAUUGCUGGAUUUGAGUGUAUUUAUUUUGACUAAAUAUUCAGUGGUAAUAAAUAGCACAUUUUAGGUUCAUAUACAACACAGUAGACAUCUUUGUGAACAUUGAGCACAGAUUUGUUUUUUUAAAUAUACUUUCUAAACCAGAUCAGAAUUGCUGGCAGAUCCCAAGAUUUGUACAACAAAAUCCGCAUUUUAUAAUUACUAUUCCAAAUGUAUUGUAUUGGCAAAUUGAAUAGGCAUAAAUAUCCCACCCACACAGACACAUAAAUUUGGCUCAUUUUCUACAGACGAGUGCUGUGCUGAAUCCCUGCCCUCAGAUUUCUAGAUAAUUUCCCGACCCCUGUGUGAAAGCCAAUGGCUUUCCCCCUCCUCUUUCUACUAUGCUUGGCAAACUCUCUUAUACUUUAAUUUUGAGAUGAGAUGGUCAAGUGUUGUGGGGGGGCAAGUGUCCUCUCCCUUCGGACAAUCACUUGGUGGUCAAAAGUCUUCCCCUUUCCCUCAAAUCCCAUGACAUCUUUCCCUCUGCUUUCCCAAGGCUUAUGAGAAAAGGUUCAGGGGAUAGAUA